CUACGGGAGGCUCCAGUCGGGAAACUUCUACAAUGUACGUAAGUAUGAUAGAGCGAGCCAGAGUGCGUUUCUAUAAUUGAAACGCUUUUAUGUAAUGUAAAAAGUUACAUGAAUAAGGACUGGGUAAGACUGGUGCCAGGCCGCCGCGGUAAUACCAGCGGUCCAAGUAGCAGCCGCGUUUAUUGGGUCUAAAACAUCCGUAGCUCGCCGAGUCAGCCUCAUGUGAAAUCCGGCCUCUCAAGGGUCGGGCGUGCAUGGGGUACUGCUUGGCUAGAGACCGGGAGACGUGAAGAGUACGGUUAGGGUAGCGGUUAAAUGCGUUGAUCCUUACUGGACUAACGAUAGCGAAGGCACUUCACGAGAACGGAUCUGACAGUGAGGGAUGAAGGCUAGGGUCGCAAAACGGAUUAGAUACCCCCGUAGUC
rnacentral:rRNA from 1 species